rnacentral:rRNA from 1 species
UCCAGCAGCCAUAUCACUCUGCAACUCACAACUGGCAACCCACUGAAGCUAAGCAGGUGUGAGCCUGGUCAGUACCUGGAUGGGGGACCUCCUGUAAAAAAACUAAGGUUGCUGCUGGAA